AAUUACCAUAUACUACAAUACAUACCAAGAUCUUGAUUAUGAGCUUUCUCUUGUCCUUCCAGGUACAGCAGACUAUAGCCAGUCCAUAAUUUUGGCAUCCCCUGUGGACAGAGUGGUUCUCUGUCUGACUGACUAUGAAGGACGAGCAAGAAUCCACUUGAAGAUCUAAUAUGGGGCCCUGGUGGUCCUGGGAUACCAGUCUGACCAGGUGGACCUUUUUGUACAUAGAAGAAAAGAUUUCACACAGGAAAUCAUGCUGCUUUGUAUCAUGCUACUGCAAAAGUUCUUCAAACAGCACAAAGUCUUCGAAAAAACAGAAUUUAGACAUCUCUAAUUAAGGACUUGGGAUAACUUCUAUACAACAGAAAAGCAUCUGAGCUCUUAUGGCAGGAAGAGUCCAUUCAUUACUAAGAAAUUUUCAGUGAAAGAAGUUACCUGGUAAUCCUAGAUCUCCAGGAGACCCUUUUCGACCUUGUGUACCAAGCAGAAGAGUUGGGUCACCUCUCUUUCCUGUUAAGAUUUCUUUUUCACUGACAUUUAUGAAAAUGCAAUUUUUGAAUAAAAGACCAUAAAACUUUUCUAACCCAAAGACUAAUUUUGUUACAUCAAGAAAUUCUUUGACCAGGUGUCCCCUUACCAAUGAUGAUCCAGAUCCCAAAAAAAGAAAAGAAAAAAAGGAAAAAAGAAGGAAAGCUGUAAAUUAAU